GUAGUCAUAUGCUUGUCUCAAAGAUUAAGCCAUGCAUGUCUAAGUAUAAACACGUUAUACUGUGAAACUGCGAAUGGCUCAUUAAAUCAGUUAUAGUUUAUUUGAUGGUUUUUGCUACAUGGAUAACUGUGGUAAUUCUAGAGCUAAUACAUGCGUACAAGCCCCGACUUCUGGAAGGGGUGUAUUUAUUAGAUAAAAAUCAACACUGUUGGUGAAUCAUGAUAACUUCUCGGAUCGCAUGGCCUCGUGCUGGCGAUACUUCAUUCAAAUAUCUGCCCUAUCAACUGUCGAUGGUAGGAUAGAGGCCUACCAUGGUUGCAACGGGUAACGGG
rnacentral:rRNA from 1 species